GUAACAAGGUUUCCGUAGGUGAACCUGCGGAAGGAUCAUUAUCGAGUUUUGACUGGGUUGUAGCUGGCCUUCCGAGGCAUGUGCACGCCCUGCUCAUCCACUCUACACCUGUGCACUUACUGUGGGCUUCAGAUCGUAAAACGGGUCCCUUUACCGGGCUUGCGGAGCGUGUCUGUGCCUGCGUUUAUCACAAACUCUAUAAAGUAUCAGAAUGUGUAUUGCGAUGUAACGCAUCUAUAUACAACUUUCAGCAACGGAUCUCUUGGCUCUCGCAUCGAUGAAGAACGCAGCGAAAUGCGAUAAGUAAUGUGAAUUGCAGAAUUCAGUGAAUCAUCGAAUCUUUGAACGCACCUUGCGCUCCUUGGUAUUCCGAGGAGCAUGCCUGUUUGAGUGUCAUGAAAUCUUCAACCUGCAAGCUUUUGUGGUUUGUAGGCUUGGACUUGGAGGCUUGUCGGCCGUUCUUGGUCGGCUCCUCUUAAAUGCAUUAGCUUGGUUCCUUGCGGAUCGGCUCUCAGUGUGAUAAUGUCUACGCUGCGACCGUGAAGCGUUUGGCGAGCUUCUAACCGUCUCAGUUGGAGACAACUUUAUGACCUAGUGGCCUCAAAUCAGGUAGGACUACCCGCUGAACUUAAGCAUAUCAAUAAGCGGAGGAAAAGAAACUAACAAGGAUUCCCCUAGUAACUGCGAGUGAAAGCGGAAAA
rnacentral:rRNA from 1 species